CGCCAUCCAUGGUGAAUCGUGGUUCAUGUGAGCAUCAGUUGGGUGCCAACGUUUUCCUUUUGGACGAAGACAAUCAAAGGCAGGUCAUAUUUUUGUUUAAAUUUGAAACUUCAGUUUUGACUCUUCGGUAGCGAAAAAAUUAUCAUAUGGAUUUAGUGUUUAUUGCCUGCUAUUUGCUGUCUACUAAUUACCCUUCGUCGCAUGCCCUCUGUCUGUUUGUUGCUCGCCGUCAGCCUACCCACCUUCUACCGUUUUCUACCCCCUCGCCGCCUGCCCUUUGGUUGUCACGGCACAUUGCCCGCCCUAUACCGUCUGCCAAUCACCCUCCGCUGCUCACAUAUGUUGCCUACUAGCUGCCCUCUGCCGUUCCUGCCCACCUUCCGCUGCUCUCCGCCCCCUGCCGCCCGUCAAUUAGUGUUACCGUCUGCCAUAUGCCACAUGCUAUUAUUUAUCACCCGUAAGUCCCCUCCAUCUGCCUCCAGUUGCAUUUUUCUGCUAUCUGUUACUUGUAUUUGUUAGUCACCUUGUGUAGGUAGUUGUAGUUGUGACUGUCGUUAAAAAUUUAAACAUUACUAAAAUUAAAAAAAAAAAAUUGAUUAAUUAACUUUUAUCUUUUAAUAUUAUUAUAUAAAUAAUAAUUUAAAUUAAUUUUUUAAGUGCAUAUAUUAUAUAAUAUAUAUUAUUAUAUAUACAAACGUAUGGUGAUAUAUAUAACGAUCUAUUAUGUCUAACAUCAACAGAAUACAUAUUAUAUAAUAUUAUGUAUAUAUGUAUUAAUAUACCAAAUACCAGUUUAUGCCGAUAUAUAUUAUCUUUUUCAUAUAUUUUUUGGUAAUUUUAGGAUCAACAAAUUUAUUUAUUUUUGGUAUAAAAAAGGUAAAAGUUAAAAGAAAAGAUGGUCAUGCACAUCCUGAUCGAAGAGACAUUCAUGAUAUCAUCAGUGAUAAACUGUUGGAAAUCAUUCGACACUUGAACAUGAGAAUGAAGCUCCACCGGUGGAGAAAAAUCAUCAUUCGUCAAAUAAUCAGCACAUUUAUUACUUUCGUGAUAGACAUUGAAUUCGAACUUGUCAAUCCUGUAAUAGUAAGUGAUUGUACGAAUGAGGGCGACAUGCGCAU
rnacentral:lncRNA from 1 species